CAGGAACCGAGAGGACGCCGGGAUACUGGUUCCAUUCCCCCGCCGACCGGAACGCUGCUUUAGUGUUCGUUAGCUGAGACGCCACAGCUGUCCACAGCGCACCCAAGCUGCGGCGGGAAGCGGGGACACGUAACCUCAUCAAAUGUGGGAAGCGUGGCCCUAGACGCUUGAGCUCGGAGACACCGGCUGUUCCGGGUGUAUUGAGAUGUUUCCGACUUCCUGCAAAGGAUCCUUUACGGCGGGCGUAGGAGUUUUUCACUCCGCUAGACUGCGUGACUUUGCAGGCCUGAAGCUCUUUUGUAGCGCUCCACCGCCCUCUUGGGGAGUUCUUGAUAAUUAUUCUGCGUUUGUGCAGUGGACUUUGGGGUCGCUGCUUGUGGUCGGCAGUGACAAGGCCAGAAGGCUUAAUCGUGACUACUAAUUCUUCCGAGUCGAAAAAGACAACAUAAAAGGUAGCUUGACCUUGAUUAACUGGGCUGACAAAAGUGCAGGUGUUUAGUAGUUCUGGCCAGUUCCCAUCAUGGCUUGGGAGUGGUGGGUGCUCUCCAAGCACCAAGGAGACAUCUAGCUUGACAUUUGACCCUAGGAAGUACUGGCCCAAAAGAGGGGACUCAGAGGAAAUUUUUUUUCUCUUUCUUACCUACUUUCUCAAAACAAGUGUUGGAUGUAAUGCGGGGGCAGCAUUGGGAUCGUAUCAAUACUAAUAGUUGAAGGAGAUGGUAGAAAGUUGGAAUCUUCCAUCUCAAAUAAACUUCUAGGUCUCUCACAGCACCUUAAGGUGUGGCUUAGUUUUUGCUAUAGAAGUUUUCAUUGCUUGACACACUCUUGGUUCUGAGCUAAUGGGAAUGACUCAACUCAGGGAGGAAAUUAUACAUAUUUUACUUGCACAGCUUAAAAGCUUAUUAAACAUAUUUAUUGCUGAAUACAUUAACCACAGUGCUCUUAGUCAUGUUAAGGGCGAUUUUUUUCUGUCUGAAUGCAAUAACAAUUUGGCAUUACCCUUAUGGCAGCAUGGGUACAUGUCUCACUAUAGUCGAGGCUUUCUGGAGUUAUUUAGGGACGAGAUGGUUUCCUGCCACCAAAACAGAACUUAGUUAUUUCUGUAGUCAAUCUACUGCCCAAAGGGGCUGUUCAUUUACACACACUGAAUGUUCGCAACAUGCCAGACACUAUGCUUGUUAAUAAGACUAUAAAAUAACUUUAUGGGGCUCAAAUUCUAGUGGAAGAUAUAGACCACAAAGAAUAAAUAUGGUGAUGUAACAGUAACUGGGGGAAGCCCCUCUGAGGGAUAUUUGUGCUGAUACUUGAAGGUGGCAGUGUGAGAGAAACAAGAAAGCAUUGUGCUCAAAUUGCUUACAUUUUAUCUCCUAACCUAUUACACUCUUUUUUUCGCUGUUUUUCUUGUUUCCUAUGUUACUUUUAUGUGAAGAGGCUGGUCUUCUCAAGAAAUCAGAUGUUAAUUUUAACAUUUCUUGUUAUAUUUGGUAUAAUCCUGAAGUCUUUUUGGAAGUAUGGUUUUCUUCUUUCCCAAUAGACAGGUGCAAUAAAUAGUACUUAUGGUGAGCUUA